CCCUUAGAUGUUCUGGGCUGCAUGCGCGCUACACUGAAGCUAUCAACACGUUUUCCCUCCCUGAGAAGGGCGGGUAACCUUUUGAAUCAGCUUCGUGGUAGGGAUCGGGGCUUGCAAUUGUUCCCCGUGAACCAGGAAUUCCUAGUAGACGCGAGUCAUAAGCUCGCAUCGAUUAAGUCCCUGCCCUUUGUACACACCGCCCGCCGCUACUACCGAUUGAACGUUUUAGUGAGGCAUUUGGACCGACGCAUCUCAGUUUAACCGCUGGUUUGUGUUGGAAAGACUUCCAAACUUGAGCGUUUAGAGGAAGUAAAAGUCGUAACA
rnacentral:rRNA from 1 species